GACGUAGGGGGCGAGCGUUGUCCGGAUUUAUUGGGCGUAAAGCGUGCGUAGGCGGCUGCGCAAGUCGGGUGUGAAACCCCGGGGCUCAACCCCGUGACUGCAUCCGAUACUGUCAGGCUAGAGGUAGGUAGGGGAGAUCGGAAUUCCUGGUGUAGCGGUGAAAUGCGCAGAUAUCAGGAGGAACACCGGUGGCGAAGGCGGAUCUCUGGGCCUUACCUGACGCUCAGGCGCGAAAGCUAGGGGAGCAAACAGG
rnacentral:rRNA from 1 species